rnacentral:rRNA from 1 species
AGCGAGGCGGAUGGGCUUGCCCAUCCAGUCGAGCGGCGAACGGGUGAGUAACGCGUGGAUAUCUACCCUUUGGUGGGGGAUAACCCGGGGAAACUCGGGCUAAUACCGCAUGACACCGUGAGGUCAAAGGGGGCCGCAAGGCUCCCGCCGGAGGAUGAGUCUGCGUCCGAUUAGCUAGUUGGUGAGGUAAUGGCUCACCAAGGCGACGAUCGGUAGCCGGCCUGAGAGGGUGAUCGGCCACACUGGAACUGAGACACGGUCCAGACUCCUACGGGAGGCAGCAGUGGGGAAUUUUGCGCAAUGGGGGAAACCCUGACGCAGCAACGCCGCGUGGAGGAUGAAGGUUUUCGGAUUGUAAACUCCUGUCAGUGGGGAAAAAGCGAGCUGACCUAAUACGUCAGUGAGUUGAUUGUACCCGCAGAGGAAGCCCCGGCUAACUCUGUGCCAGCAGCCGCGGUAAUACAGAGGGGGCAAGCGUUAUUCGGAAUUAUUGGGCGUAAAGGGCGCGCAGGCGGCCGCUCAAGUGGAAGGUGAAAUCCCCCGGCUCAACCGGGGAACUGCCUUCCAAACUGAGUGGCUUGAGUCCGGGAGAGGUGAGUGGAAUUCCCAGUGUAGCGGUGAAAUGCGUAGAUAUUGGGAGGAACACCGGUGGCGAAGGCGGCUCACUGGACCGGAACUGACGCUGAGGCGCGAAAGCGUGGGGAGCAAACGGGAUUAGAUACCCCGGUAGUCCACGCCGUAAACGAUGAGUGCUUGGUGUAGCGGGUAUCGACCCCUGCUGUGCCGAAGCUAACGCAUUAA